rnacentral:rRNA from 1 species
AACGAACGCUGGCGGCAGGCCUAACACAUGCAAGUCGAGCGGACCCUUCGGGGUUAGCGGCGGACGGGUGAGUAACGCGUGGGAAUAUGCCCUUCUCUACGGCAUAGUCCUGGGAAACUGGGGGUAAUACCGUAUCCGCCCUUUGGGGGAAAGAUUUAUUGGGGAAGGAUUAGCCCGCGUUGGAUGAGGUGGUUGGUGGGGUAAUGGCCUACCACGCCGACGAUCCAUAGCUGGUUUGAGAGAAUGGUCAGCCACACUGGGACUGAGAAGCGGCCCAGACUCCUACGGGAUGCAGCAGUGGGGAAUCUUAGACAAUGGGGGCAACCCUGAUCUAGCCAUGCCGCGUGAGUGAUGAAGGCCUUAGGGUUGUAAAGCUCUUGCAGCUGGGAAGAUAAUGACGGUACCAGCAGAAGAAGCCCCGGCUAACUCCGUG